rnacentral:lncRNA from 1 species
GCUAAAAAUUUGGAUCACUGAUUCUAUUAAAUAUAUAUUAAAAUAUUAAAUUAAUAAUUUAAUUUAAAAAUAUUUUAAAAAUUUGAUAUUAUAUUAUCAAUAAUUUGAUUGUCAUAUCAAACUUGUCAAUCAAAAUUUUUGAUAAUUUUAUUGUAAUAUUAUUUAUAUAUAUCAAAUAUAAUAAUUAAUAUUAUUAAUAAUUUAAUAAUAAUAAUCUAUUCUGUAUGUAAUUUUGAUUAUCUUUUAAGAUUGUUUGGUGACGCACUAAAUGCAACC